rnacentral:rRNA from 1 species
CCGAGUAAGGGGGGUGAAGUCGUAACAAGGUAGCCGUACCGGAAGGUGCGGCUGGAUCACCUCCUUUCUAAGGAGCA